UUCGCAAUGCCCGAAAGGGUGACGAAGCGACGCCGCGUGGGUGAGGAAGGCCUUCGGGUUGUAAAGCCCUGUCAGGAGUUAAGAAAUAUAAGUGUGUUAAUACCGCAUUUAUUUGACGAAGGCUCCAAAGGAAGCCACGGCUAACUCUGUGCCAGCAGCCGCGGUAAUACAGAGGUGGCAAGCGUUGUUCGGAAUUAUUGGGCGUAAAGAGCACGUAGGUGGGUUUGUAAGUCAGAUGUGAAAGCCUUCUGUUCAACGGGAGAAUUGCAUCUGAAACUGCAAGUCUUGAGUAUAGGAGGGGAGAAUGGAACUUCUGGUGGAGCGGUGAGAUGCGUAGAUAUCAGAAGGAACGCCGGCGGCGAAAGCGAUUCUCUGGCCUAUUACUGACACUCAGUGUGCGAAAGCUAGGGGAGCAAACGGGAUUAGAUACCCCGGUAGUCCUAGCUGUAAACGAUGGGCACUAAGUAGAGGGGUUUU
rnacentral:rRNA from 1 species